rnacentral:rRNA from 1 species
UACGUAGGGAGCAAGCGUUGUCCGGAAUCAUUGGGCGUAAAGCGCGCGUAGGCGGCCCUGUAAGUCCGUUGUGAAAGUCAAAGGCUCAACCUUUGAAAGCCGAUGGAUACUGCAGGGCUAGAGUCCGGGAGAGGAGAGUGGAAUUCCUGGUGUAGCGGUGAAAUGCGCAGAUAUCAGGAAGAACACCCGUGGCGAAAGCGGCUCUCUGGAACGGUACUGACGCUGAGACGCGAAAGCGUGGGGAGCGAACAGG